rnacentral:rRNA from 1 species
CAAUAGCGUAUAUUAAAGUUGUUGCAGUUAAAAAGCUCGUAGUUGGAUUUCGGGGUGGCCUGGCUGGUCCACCGCAAGGUGUGUACUGGUCAGCUGCCCUUCCUCUCGAAAGCCCCGACUGCUCUUCAUUGUUGUGGUCGGGUAGUUCGAGACGUUUACUUUGAAAAAAUUAGAGUGUUCAAGGCAGGCCGUCGCCUGAAUACAUUAGCAUGGAAUAAUGGAAGAGGACCUUGGUCCUAUUUUGUUGGUUUCUGGGGCCGAAGUAAUGAUUAAGAGGGACAGUUGGGGGCAUUCGUAUUUAAUUGUCAGAGGUGAAAUUCUUGGAUUUAUGAAAGACGAACUAGUGCGAAAGCAUUUGCCUAGGAUGUUUUCAUUAA